rnacentral:rRNA from 1 species
UACGUAGGGUGCAAGCGUUUGUCCGGAAUUAUUGGGCGUAAAGAGCUCGUAGGCGGUCUGUCGCGUCUGCUGUGAAAACUCAGGGCUUAACCCUGAGCUUGCAGUGGGUACGGGCAGACUAGAGUGCGGUAGGGGAGACUGGAAUUCCUGGUGUAGCGGUGAAAUGCGCAGAUAUCAGGAGGAACACCGGUGGGCGAAGGCGGAUCUCCUGGGCCGUAACUGACGC